UUCAAACCAAAAGGUCGAUAUAGCUCUGCUGAGCAAAAAUAAUUUAGAAAAAAGUUCAAGAAAUUUGUAUCUUCAAAGUGCAAAUUUGCGAAAAAGUUGAAAAAUGGGUGAAUUCCAGAGUUUGUUGUCCACCUUCGCUAUUCUGGCAGUACUUUUGAUAUUUCUUUAUCUUUUGUAUGCCAUGUUUUAAGCUGGAAAAAAUGAAUAAGAAUUGCCCACCGUGAUUACAAGUGCCUUACUUGUAAUCAUGUAGUAUAUAAGAUGACAUCUCCAGCUAAAAAAUUGCUUAAACAACCAACAACAGCAACAAAAUGAAUGAAGCCAAGAGUCUAUUCACCACCUUCCUUAUCCUGGUCUUCUUGUUGGGUUUAUUGUGGGCUUUCUAUGAAGCGGUUUUCUAAAACUCCAACUAUGUACUUAGACAUGAUUUUCAUGUUUUAAACUUUAAUAUACCCCAUAGAAACACACACACACACACACACACACAAAUCCUGUGUUUUGGGGUACUUUUUGUUAGUUUUUUUUAUUUAUCAUCAUCAAAUGUCAUAGUUUGGAAAUAUUUAUUUAUGUACAUCAAAGAUGUCAACAUGAAAUCUGGCAACAACAACAACAACAACAUCAUCGUCUUACAUGAUAGAAUGAAUGAAUGAAUGCGCGAAAAAUCAAUUCCAAAAAACAUUAAAUCAACGAAUUUGUAAUUGCAAAAAAAAAAUACUAAAAGAAUUCGCUUGGAUAGAAAAUGAGAUGACGUCAACACUUGAGCAGCCAGCCGCUAGGAUGCCAAUACGGCUGGGUUGUUGCGAAAAGGGGAAAGCGAUUUUUCGCUGUUCACAGAGAAAAAAAAAAAACAAAAGAAAAAUCGUCUUGCUGCCCCGUGGAAAAUAUUGUAAGCAAAUUACCAUCGGCAUCAGUGUGACCUCGCGGCGUGCUGUGUACUUUGUUGUAGACACCUAUUUAUUUGGAAAGUAAAAAUAUACUAAAAAGCGUAAAAGUGGAAAUUUUCAGCAGCUGUCAGCAAUCCAUCAGUUCAUCUUUAGUAAAAUAUUCCAGCCGAACGACGUUCAUGUCAUCGACUUCUAGAAAUUGCGUUUAUUUAAAAACAACAAAAUAAUAAUUAUGAAAAGAAGCCAAAAAAAAAAAAAA